rnacentral:rRNA from 1 species
CCUACGGGAGACAGCAGUGAGGAAUAUUUGUCAAUGGGCGCGAGCCUGAUCCAGCCAAGUAGCGUGAAGGAUGACUGCCCUACGGGUUGUAAACUUCUUUUAUAAAGGAAUAAAGUGAGGCACGUGUGCCUUUUUGUAUGUACUUUAUGAAUACGGAUCGGCUAACUCCGUGCCAGCAGCCGCGGUAAUACGGAGGAUCCGAGCGUUAUCCGGAUUUAUUGGGUUUAAAGGGAGAGUAGAUGGGUUGUUAAGUCAGUUGUGAAAGUUUGCGGCUCAACCGUAAAAUUGCAAUUGAUACUGGCAGUCUUGAGUACAGUUGAGGUAGGCGGAAUUCGUGGUGUAGCGGUGAAAUGCUUAGAUAUCACGAAGAACUCCGAUUGCGAAGGCAGCUUACUAAACUGCCACUGACAUUGAUGCUCGAAAGUGUGGGUAUCAAACAGGAUUAGAUACCCCUGUAGUC